UACAGAGGUCCCAAGCGUUGUUCGGAUUCACUGGGCGUAAAGGGUGCGUAGGUGGUCGGGUAAGUCUGAUGUGAAAUCUCUGGGCUCAACCCAGAAAUGGCAUUGGAUACUAUUCGGCUAGAGGAGUGGAGGGGGGACUGGAAUACUUGGUGUAGCAGUGAAAUGCGUAGAUAUCAAGUGGAACACCAGUGGCGAAGGCGAGUCUCUGGACAUUUCCUGACGCUGAGGCACGAAAGCCAGGGGAGCAAACGGG
rnacentral:rRNA from 1 species